GACGAACGCUGGCGGCGUGCUUAACACAUGCAAGUCGAACGGAAAGGCCCUGCUUUUGUGGGGUGCUCGAGUGGCGAACGGGUGAGUAACACGUGAGUAACCUGCCCUUGACUUUGGGAUAACAUCAGGAAACUGGGGCUAAUACAGGAUAGGAGCUCCUGCUGCAUGGUGGGGGUUGGAAAGUUUCGGCGGUUGGGGAUGGACUCGCGGCAUAGCAGCUGGUUGGUGGGGUAGUGGCUUACAAAGGCUUUGACGGGUAGCCGGCCUGGGAGGGUGACCGGCCCCAUAGGGCUUGGGGAGCGACCCGGACUCCUUCGGGCGGAAGGGGCGGGAAAUAUAGGGAAAUGCGCGGGGGCAGGAAGCGGGGACGCCGCGUGGGAAAUGACUGCUAUCGGGGUGGAAACCGUGUGCGACUAUGACGACGCGUGUGUGCCGGUACUGAGUAGAGAAGCACCGCUAAAUUAGUU
rnacentral:rRNA from 1 species